AUUGAACGCUGGCGGCAUGCUUUACACAUGCAAGUCGAACGGUAACAGGUUAAGCUGACGAGUGGCGAACGGGUGAGUAAUGCAUCGGAACGUGCCCGAGCGGGGGGGAUAACGCAGCGAAAGCUGCGCUAAUACCGCAUACGAUCUGAGGAUGAAAGCGGGGGACCGUAAGGCCUCGCGCGAUCGGAGCGGCCGACGUCAGAUUAGGUAGUUGGGGGGGUAAAGGCCCACCAAGCCGACGAUCUGUAGCUGGUCUGAGAGGACGACCAGCCAGACUGGGACUGAGACACGGCCCAGACUCCGGCGGGAGGCAGCAGUGGGGAAUUGUGGACAAUGGGCGAGAGCCUGCUCCAGCAAUGCCGCGUGCAGGAAGAAGGCCUUCGGGUUGUAAACUGCUUGUGUACGGAGCGAAAAGGCCCUUUCUAAUACAAGGGGCUCAUGGCGGUACCGUAAGAAUAAGCACCGGCUAACUACGUGCCAGCCGCCGCCGUAACAC
rnacentral:rRNA from 1 species